rnacentral:rRNA from 1 species
UACAGAGGGUGCAAGCGUUAAUCGGAAUUAUUGGGCGUAAAGGGCGCGUAGGCGGCCAUGCGUGUCUUUCGUGAAAUCCCUCGGCUUAACUGAGGACGUGCGGAAGAAACUGCAAGGCUUGAGUCCGGGAGAGGGGGGUGGAAUUCCCAGUGUAGCGGUGAAAUGCGUAGAUAUUGGGAGGAACACCGGUGGCGAAGGCGGCCCCCUGGACCGGUACUGACGCUGAGGCGCGAAAGCGUGGGUAGCAAACGGG